GAUGAACGCUGGCGGCGUGCCUAAUACAUGCAAGUCGAGCGAACAGACGAGGAGCUUGCUCCUCUGACGUUAGCGGCGGACGGGUGAGUAACACGUGGAUAACCUACCUAUAAGACUGGGAUAACUUCGGGAAACCGGAGCUAAUCCCGGAUAAUAUAUUGAACCGCAUGGUUCAAUAGUGAAAUACGGUUUUUCUGUCACUUAUAGAUGGAUCCGCGCCGCAUUAGCUAGUUGGUAAGGUAACGGCUUACCAAGGCAACGAUGCGUAGCCGACCUGAGAGGGUGAUCGGCCAAACUGGAACUGAGACACGGUCCAGACUCAUACGGGAGGCAGCAGUAGGGAAUCUUCCGCAAUGGGCGAAAGCCUGACGGAGCAACGCCGCGUGAGUGAUGAAGGUCUUCGGAUCGUAAAACUCGGUUAUUAGGGAAGAACAAAUGUGUAAGUAACUAUGCACGUCUUGACGGUACCUAAUCAGAAAGCCACGGCUAACUACGUG
rnacentral:rRNA from 1 species